rnacentral:snoRNA from 1 species
CUUUAAUGAUGACAAUUUUACAUAGUACACAGAGAAAUUAUGUUGAAAUCCUUUUUAACAUGCAUCACCAUCUGA